rnacentral:rRNA from 1 species
UAUGUAGGGUGCAGGCGUUAAUCGGAAUUACUGGGCGUAAAGCGUGCGCAGGCGGUCUGCUAAGAGAGGUGUGAAAUCCCCGGGCUUAACCUGGGAACUGCGCUUCUAACUGGCAGGCUUGAGUGUGGCAGAGGGGGGUGGAAUUCCACGUGUAGCAGUGAAAUGCGUAGAGAUGUGGAGGAACACCGAUGGCGAAGGCAGCCCCCUGGGCUAACACUGACGCUCAUGCACGAAAGCGUGGGGAGCAAACAGG